rnacentral:rRNA from 1 species
AUUGAACGCUGGCGGCAUGCCUUACACAUGCAAGUCGAACGGUAACAGGUCUUCGGAUGCUGACGCGUGGCGAACGGGUGAGUAAUACAUCGGAACGUGCCUAGUAGUGGGGGAUAACUACUCGAAAGAGUGGCUAAUACCGCAUGAGAUCUACGGAUGAAAGCAGGGGAUCGCAAGACCUUGUGCUACUAGAGCGGCCGAUGGCAGAUUAGGUAGUUGGUGGGAUAAAAGCUACCAAGCCGACGAUCUGUAGCUGGUCUGAGAGGACGAACAGCCACACUGGGACUGAGACACGGCCCAGACUCCAACGGGAAGCAGCAGUGGGGAAUUUUGGACAAUGGGCGAAAGCCUGAUCCAGCAAUGCCGCGUGCACGAUGAAGGCCUUCGGGUUGUAAACUGCUUUUGUACGGAACGAAAAGCCCCGGGUUAAUACCCUGGGGUCAUGACGGUACCGUAAGAAUAAGCACCGGCUAACUACGUGCCAGCCGCCGCGGUAA